rnacentral:rRNA from 1 species
UCGAGCGAAUGGAUUAAGAGCUUGCUCUUAUGAAGUUAGCGGCGGACGGGUGAGUAACACGUGGGUAACCUGCCCAUAAGACUGGGAUAACUCCGGGAAACCGGGGCUAAUACCGGAUAACAUUUUGAACCGCAUGGUUCGAAAUUGAAAGGCGGCUUCGGCUGUCACUUAUGGAUGGACCCGCGUCGCAUUAGCUAGUUGGUGAGGUAACGGCUCACCAAGGCAACGAUGCGUAGCCGACCUGAGAGGGUGAUCGGCCACACUGGGACUGAGACACGGCCCAGACUCCUACGGGAGGCAGCAGUAGGGAAUCUUCCGCAAUGGACGAAAGUCUGACGGAGCAACGCCGCGUGAGUGAUGAAGGCUUUCGGGUCGUAAAACUCUGUUGUUAGGGAAGAACAAGUGCUAGUUGAAUAAGCUGGCACCUUGACGGUACCUAACCAGAAAGCCACGGCUAACUACGUGCCAGCAGCCGGUAAAUAA